rnacentral:rRNA from 1 species
UACGUAGGUGACCAGCGUUGUCCGAAUUUACUGGGCGUAAAGAGCGCGCAGGCGGUCGUUCAAGUCGAGUGUGAAAGCCCCCGGCUCAACUGGGGAGGGUCAUUCGAUACUGAUCGACUUGAAGGCAGGAGAGGGAAGUGGAAUUCCCGGUGUAGUGGUGAAAUGCGUAGAUAUCGGGAGGAACACCAGUGGCGAAGGCGACUUCCUGGCCUGUUCUUGACGCUGAGGCGCGAAAGCUAGGGGAGCAAACGGG